rnacentral:rRNA from 1 species
UGGCCGUAAACGAUGUGGACUUGGUGUUGGAAUGGCUCCGAGCUGCUCCAGUGCCGAAGGGAAGCUGUUAAGUCCACCGCCUGGGAAGUACGGUCGCAAGACUGAAACUUAAAGGAAUUGGCGGGGGGAGCACCACAACGCGUGGAGCCUGCGGUUUAAUUUGGAUUCAACGCCGGACAUCUCACCAGGGGCGACAGCGGAAUGAUGGCCAGGUUGAUGACCUUGCUUGACAAGCUGAGAGGAGGUGCAUGGCGUGUGACUGU